AUGAUAACGUAUCGGUUGCAACAGCACAACUCCAGAUUUAGUGGAUUCAUCCUCUUAUUGUUUCUGCUCACAUUUCUAACUCAACAGUGCAAAUUGCUGAAAAGCAUAUUUAUUAUCCAUGGUAUUUUAAUUUCACAAACCCCAUUUCUCUUCUUAUUUGUUAUUCCUCAUAUCAUCCUUAAAAAAUGUAAGAAAAAUAAUUGCAAUGCCAUUCUCAUUUCUAAAUCAUACUUUCUUUUAGCUAGUAAGCUGCGACGCCAUUUUCUAAAAAAAAUAAGAUGUGACAUAAUGGCAGCCAGAAUGAUUGGUUGGUCAUAG
rnacentral:rRNA from 1 species